CUCCUUUUGCUAUGAGAGCCUAGGAACAGAGGCCAAGCAAAGAAGUUCAUGCACUGUAAGCCCUGUGUCUACUCAGCUUCCAGCCAUUCUUUUCGCAAGAGGAAUCCGUUGCUAUCACAGUCAGUACCGCGGAUAACUUGGGAUAUCAGCAACGGAGAAACCAACCACACAAUUCCAUUGUUUCUCUGAGUAAAGUAUUUUGCUUGAAAAACAGGGCUAUAAGGGACCAGUUGAGCCCUGUCCGAGUGGGAGGAGGAAGGACCAUCUCAGCCCGUCUCUUGGAACAUGGAGAAAAA